rnacentral:rRNA from 1 species
UAUCCGGAUUUAUUGGGUUUAAAGGGAGCGCAGGCUGAUUAUUAAGCGUGACGUGAAAUGUAGCCGCUCAACGGCUGAACUGCGUCGCGAACUGGUAGUCUUGAGUGAGUUCGAUGUUGGCGGAAUUCGUGGUGUAGCGGUGAGAUGCUUAGAUAUCACGAAGAACUCCGAUUGCGAAGGCAGCCCACAAGGCCUUUACUGACGCUAAAGCUCGAAGGUGCGGGUAUCGAACAGGAUUAGAUACCCUGGUAGUCCGCCCGGUAAACGAUGGAUGACCGUUAUUUCCGAUUUAUAGUAAGCGGCCAAGAGAUAUCGCUGAGCAUUCCACCUUGGGAGUACGCCGGCAACGGUGAAACUCCAAGGAAUUGACGGGGGACCGCACAAGCGGAGGAACAUGUGGUUUAAUUCGAUGAUACGCGAGGAACAUUACCCGGGCCUGAACUGCCGGCGAACGAUACAGAGAUGUUGAGGCCCUUCGGGGCGCCGGUGGAGGUGCUGCAUGGUUGUCGUCAGCUCGUGCCGUGAGGUGUCGGCUUAAGUGCCAUAACGAGCGCAACCCUUUUCGUCAGUUGCCAUCAGGUGAUGAUGGGCACUCUGGCGACACUGCCACCGUUAUGUGUGAGGAAGGUAGGGAUGACGUCAAAUAAGCACGGGCCUUACGUCCGGGGCUACACACGUGUUUCAAUGGGGCAUACAGAAGGCAGGGGCAUGGGAAUGUGCAUCCAAUCUUAAAAGUGCUCCUCAGUUCGGAUUGGGGUCUGCAACCCGACCCCAUGAAGCUGGAUUCGCUAGUAAUCGCGCAUCAGCCAUGGCGCGGUGAAUACGUUCCCGGGCCUUGUACACACCGCCCGUCAAGCCAUGAAAGCCGGGGGCGCCUGAAGUCCGUGACCGCAAGGGUCGGCAUAGGGUGAAACCUGUGAUUGGGGGUAAGUGGUAACAAGGAACCCGGGCGGCCGCUCGAGCCAUCUUGCUAAAAACUCGAGCCUCCCGAAAUUUUGG